rnacentral:rRNA from 1 species
UGUCUCAAAGAUUAAGCCAUGCAUGUCUAAGUAUAAGCAAUCUAUACUGUGAAACUGCGAAUGGCUCAUUAAAUCAGUUAUCGUUUAUUUGAUAGUACCUUACUACUUGGAUAACCGUGGUAAUUCUAGAGCUAAUACAUGCUAAAAACCUCGACUUCGGAAGGGGUGUAUUUAUUAGAUAAAAAACCAAUGCCCUUCGGGGCUCCUUGGUGAUUCAUAAUAACUUAACGAAUCGCAUGGCCUUGCGCCGGCGAUGGUUCAUUCAAAUUUCUGCCCUAUCAACUUUCGAUGGUAGGAUAGUGGCCUACCAUGGUUUCAACGGGUAACGGGGAAUUAGGGUUCUAUUCCGGAGAGGGAGCCUGAGAAACGGCUACCACAUCCAAGGAAGGCAGCAGGCGCGCAAAUUACCCAAUCCCGACACGGGGAGGUAGUGACAAUAAAUACUGAUACAGGGCUCUUUUGGGUCUUGUAAUUGGAAUGAGUACAAUUUAAAUCCCUUAACGAGGAACAAUUGGAGGGCAAGUCUGGUGCCAGCAGCCGCGGUAAUUCCAGCUCCAAUAGCGUAUAUUAAAGUUGUUGCAGUUAAAAAGCUCGUAGUUGAACCUUGGGCCUGGCUGGCCGGUCCGCCUCACCGCGUGCACUGGUCCGGCCGGGCCUUUCCUUCUGGGGAGCCGCAUGCCCUUCACUGGGUGUGUCGGGGAACCAGGACUUUUACUUUGAAAAAAUUAGAGUGUUCAAAGCAGGCCUAUGCUCGAAUACAUUAGCAUGGAAUAAUAGAAUAGGAC